GAUCAUGGCUCAGGACGAACGUUGGCGGCGUGCCUAACACAUGCAAGUCGAACGGAGCAAAGCCCUUCGGGACUUUACUUAGUGGCGAACGGGUGAGUAACGCGUGAGGAACCUGCCUUCCAGUGGGGGGACAACAGUUGGAAACGACUGCUAAUACCGCAUGAUGCUUUUGAGGGACAUCCCUUAAAAGCCAAAGCUUUAUGUGCUGGAAGAUGGCCUCGCGUCUGAUUAGCUAGUUGGUGGGGUAACGGCC
rnacentral:rRNA from 1 species